rnacentral:rRNA from 1 species
UACGUAGGGUGCAAGCGUUAAUCGGGAUUACUGGGCGUAAAGCGUGCGCAGGCGGUUUUGUAAGUCAGAUGUGAAAUCCCCGGGCUUAACCUGGGAACUGCGUUUGAAACUACAAGGCUAGAGUGUGGCAGAGGGGGGUGGAAUUCCACGUGUAGCAGUGAAAUGCGUAGAGAUGUGGAGGAACACCGAUGGCGAAGGCAGCCCCCUGGGUUAGCACUGACGCUCAGGCACGAAAGCGUGGGGAGCAAACAGG